GACGCCUGCCACAAACUAAAGGCAGCCCUCUGUUACACACUUCUUGCCAGCCCUGGUCAUGCAGUGGCCAUGGAGAAUGUGUAGAAAUCAUCAAUAAUUACACCUGCAACUGUGAUGUGGGGUACUAUGGGCCCCAGUGUCAGUUUUGAUUCAGUGUGAGCCUUUGGAGGCCCCAGAGCUGGGUACCAUGGACUGUACUCACCCUUUGGGAAACUUCAGCUUCAGCUCACAGUGUGCCUUCAGCUGCUCUGAAGGAACAAACUUAACUGGGAUUGAAGAAACCACCUGUGGACCAUUUGGAAACUGGUCAUCUCCAGAACCAACCUGUCAAUGAUUCAGUGUGAGCCUCUAUCAGCACCAGAUUUGGGGAUCAUGAACUGUAGCCAUCCCCUGGCCAGCUUCAGCUUUACCUCUGCAUGUACCUUCAUCUGCUCAGAAGGAACUGAGUUAAUUGGGAAGAAGAAAACCAUUUGUGAAUCAUCUGGAAUCUGGUCAAAUCCUAGUCCAAUAUGUCAAAAUUGGACAAAAGUUUCUCAAUGAUUAAGGAGGGUGAUUAUAACCCCCUCUUCAUUCCAGUGGCAGUCAUGGUUACUGCAUUCUCUGGGUUGGCAUUUAUCAUUUGGCUGGC
rnacentral:lncRNA from 1 species